UGGACACCUGGGUAGGAACGCUGCUGCUGGUUGGCUGGUAGGAGGUGCUGCAGAGAGACCCCUACCUGACUGUCAUCCUCUCUCAGUGGCGAGUCCAUCUAGUUCAGACUCAGACAGGUGGAAGAAGUCAACUCCUAACUAGGGUAUAAUGAAGCAUGAUGGAAGUAUUUGACCCAGCGGCUCUUCUAUACCCAGGAGGCCCUGACUGCCACAUUCACCAGUUGAUUUUCCAGGGAACAUAAUCAGAGGCAGAAUCGUCUGGUGGUUAAAAGUACAAUCUGGAGUUAGACUGCUUGAUUUUCAAUCCCAGCUCUUCCACUCAUCAGCUUUGUUAUCUUAGG
rnacentral:lncRNA from 10 species